GGGUAGCGGAACACGUACGCAACCUUCCUUUAAGUGGGGAAGUAGCCCGGGGAAACCCGGAUUAAUACCCCGUAAUAUUAUGAUGUGGCAUCACUUUAUAAUUAUAGAUUCAUCGCUUAAAGAUGGGCGUGCGCCUGAUUAGGUAGUUGGCGGAGUAAUAGCCCACCAAGCCUGCGAUCAGUAACUGGUGUGAGAGCACGACCAGUCACACGGGCACUGAGACACGGGCCCG
rnacentral:rRNA from 1 species